rnacentral:rRNA from 1 species
GAUGAACGCUGGCGGCGUGCCUAAUACAUGCAAGUCGAGCGAAUGGAUUAAGAGCUUGCUCUUAUGAAGUUAGCGGCGGACGGGUGAGUAACACGUGGGUAACCUGCCCAUAAGACUGGGAUAACUCCGGGAAACCGGGGCUAAUACCGGAUAACAUUUUGAACCGCAUGGUUCGAAAUUGAAAGGCGGCUUCGGCUGUCACUUAUGGAUGGACCCGCGUCGCAUUAGCUAGUUGGUGAGGGAACGGCUCACCAAGGCAACGAUGCGUAGCCGACCUGAGAGGGUGAUCGGCCACACUGGGACUGAGACACGGCCCCGACUCCUACGGGAGGCAGCAGUAGGGAAUCUUCCGCAAUGGACGAAAGUCUGACGGAGCAACGCCGCGUGAGUGAUGAAGGCUUUCGGGUCGUAAAACUCUGUUGUUAGGGAAGAACAAGUGCUAGUUGAAUAAGCUGGCACCUUGACGGUACCUAACCAGAAAGCCACGGCUAACUACGUGCCAGCAGCCGCGGUAA